rnacentral:rRNA from 1 species
AACGAACGCUGGCGGCAUGCCUAACACAUGCAAGUCGAACGAAGGCUUCGGCCUUAGUGGCGCACGGGUGCGUAACGCGUGGGAAUCUGCCCUUUGCUUCGGAAUAACAGUUAGAAAUGACUGCUAAUACCGGAUGAUGUCGCAAGACCAAAGAUUUAUCGGCAAAGGAUGAGCCCGCGUAGGAUUAGCUAGUUGGUGGGGUAAAGGCCUACCAAGGCGACGAUCCUUAGCUGGUCUGAGAGGAUGAUCAGCCACACUGGGACUGAGACACGGCCCAGACUCCUACGGGAGGCAGCAGUGGGGAAUAUUGGACAGUGGGCGAAAGCCUGAUCCAGCAAUGCCGGGUGAGUGAUGAAGGCCUUAGGGUUGUAAAGCUCUUUUACCCGGGAUGAUAAUGACAGUACCGGGAGAAUAAGCUCCGGCUAACUCCGUG